UACGAAGGGUGCUAGCGUUGUUCGGAAUCACUGGGCGUAAAGCGCGCGUAGGCGGCUUUGCAAGUCAGAGGUGAAAUCCUGAGGCUUAACCUCAGAAUUGCCUUUGAAACUGCAAAGCUGGAGUGUUGGAGGGGUUGGCGGAAUUCCGAAUGUAGAGGUGAAAUUCGUAGAUAUUCGGAGGAACACCGGUGGCGAAGGCGGCCAACUGGACAACAACUGACGCUGAGGCGCGAAAGCGUGGGGAUCAAACAGG
rnacentral:rRNA from 1 species